rnacentral:rRNA from 1 species
CCCUUAGAUGUCCUGGGCCGCACGCGCGCUACACUGACGGAGCCAGCGAGCGUGUCCUUCGCCGAAAGGUGCGGGUAAUCUUGGCAGCCUCCGUCGUGCUGGGGAUAGAUGGUUGCAAUUAUUGAUCUUGAACGAGGAAUUCCUAGUAAGCGCGAGUCACCAGCUCGCGUUGAUUACGUCCCUGCCCUUUGUACACACCGCCCGUCGCUACUACCGAUUGGAUGGCUUAAUGAGAGCUCUGGAUCUCUACCGGCGCGGUCCUCACGGGUCGCGUUGGAUGGGGAGAAGUUGCUCAAAUUGAGUCUUCUAGAGGAAGUAAAAGUCGUAACA